GGGUGCACCGCCGACCGA
rnacentral:snRNA from 1 species